rnacentral:ncRNA from 2 species
AAUAUAUAUGCGCUUGUAAAUCAUGCGUGGCAUCUGCCGCGCAGGAAGUUGGGUGAGAAUCCCACACAGGAACGCUGCUGUAUUAACGGAGCAGUCUUUUACGGGAAACCAGCCACUGGAAGCAAUUCUGGGAAGGCAAAAGGCUGCGAUGAGGUUUAAGUCAGAAUACGUUUACGAGAUGCUGUUGAA